GAAAUGGUUUUCAGUCGUACGUAGGCAUGUGCUGGAUUACUACAUAAAAAGUGUCUCUUGCUGGGGGUCUCAGUCAAAGACAUCCCACACCACGCUCUAAUGAAGCUGCUGGCCUCAUCGUCAUGCCCCGAACUACAGGAGGUAACAGAAGCAUAUCACAAGGGAACACAGACUGUGCAGAUACUGAGAAUAACACUUAUGUUUCAGAGCUCCGGCAGACUGCUCGAGGCAAGCAUAAUCAGGUACUGAAAUGGCUCUCUUGAAAAUCACCCAUGAUUCUGAAGUCGGGCCAUGAGGAACUGGCCUCAGGACCGGCCUUCCUCUUCCCCAGACUGGGGGCAUCUGAGUCACGUGGCAACUUCCCUCCCUGAAAGUGUUCCUGUGAGGUAAAGAUCACGAGCCAAACCUGACACGAACACCUGUUUCCUAUCUGUGAAAUGGCAUCACUGUCCCGUGGAAGGUCACAGCAACAAAGUACGUCACAGUCAGCAGGUCAGAAGUCUGAACUCAAGGUGUCGGCAGGGCCCCUCUCCCUCUGAAAGCUGUGGGGGAUCCUUCCGUGCCUCUUGCAGCCCCCGGUGCUGCUGGCAAGCCCUGGCAUGCCUCGGCUCUAGAUGCACCCUCCGAUCUCCGCCUUCGUCACAUGGCUUCACCCUGUGUGCCUGUCUUGACGUCCCCAUCUUCUUAUAAAACACUAAUCAUUUUGAUUUGGCACCUGCCCUACUCUAGGACAACUUUAACUAGUUACAUCUGUUGUGGCUUUUUUUUUUUAAAUAUUUUAAU